rnacentral:rRNA from 1 species
CAUAUUAUAGAUGGAUGUUGUUAUUAUUAUCAUAUAUUGGAUUGGUAUUAUGAGUGAUUGUUAUUGGGUUUCUAUAGUUUAUUAGUACUGUAAAGGAAUUAUUUUAUUUUUAUUAAAUUUAGGUUAUUUAAUACCUUUUGUAUUAGGGUUCUUUUAUGUUUAUGCAUUAUAAUGAUUUCUCGAUAAAUAUCGGGCUAUUUUAUUAGUUUGGUUUUCGUUGUAUAGAAUCUUUUAUAGUAAAAUAGUUAUGAAAUAUUAUUCAAGAUGUUUUGUAUCUAGUUUUCUUAGAGAGAUAAUAUCAUAUAUGUUUAUAUUUUAGUUAUACAGGGAUUAGCUUGUAUAUUGUUUAUACGAUAUUAUAGUUUUUAUUUGUUUGUGGUGUUAAAAGUUCUUAUUUUUAUGGUAUUAUUACUGAACAAGUUUAAUUAAUUAUUUUUUAUAUUUAUGUAAUGAUAAGGGUUAUUGUAUUAAUUUUAGUUAUUAUGAAAUAAUGAUGAUAUUAGUAAUUUUUCUAUUUGUUUUUAUUGAUUUGGAUUUAAUAUUGAAGUUUGUUUAGGUAUUAAUUAAUAGUGAAGAAUUAGGCAAAGAUUGACUUUUGACUGUUUAGCAAAAACAUUGUUUUUUGUUAGAGGUAAAAAAUAAUUUCUGCCCACUGCUGUUAUGGUAAAGGGCUGCAGUAUUUUGACUGUAUGAAGGUAGCAUAAUCAUUAGCUUUUUAAUUGAGGGCUGGUAUGAAGGGUAAACAGAGGUUUGCUGUUUUGUUGUUAUUUGGUGAAUUUUAUUUUUAUGUGAAAAAUCAUAGGUAAAAUAAAGGGACAAGAAGACCCUAGUAAGUUUUAUCUUUUAUUUUAAUGAAUAUAUAGGAAAAAUUUAUAUGAUUUAUUAUUAGGGGUUUAGCUGGGGCGGCGGAUUAUAAAACGUGAUUUAUUCUUUAACUUUGUUGUUGGCGGUUUAUUGACCUAAUGGGUUUAGUUGAGUGUAAAAUUACUGUAGGGAUAACAGCGUAAUUUUUUUUAUGAGUUCUUAUUGACAAAAAAGUUUGCGACCUCGAUG